ensembl:lncRNA
GGAGAACUGAAACAUGAAGUAUACCAAAGCCUUUGGUGGUGGCAUGGGAUCCCAAAUCUCCCAGCAAAGGAACCUUCCAAGUGGUUCUGAGAACCACCAAAGCACUCAGGCUGACUGUACAGCAGAGCGCCAAAGUUCUGCGUAACUCUGAUUUUCUGUGCAGGCUGCACAGCGGAUAAAGCUCUACUUGAUCUAACAGGUACAUAAGAUGGAGAUGCAGCAAUGCGAUGGAUGCUGCAAGAAUGCCUUUGGAGGAUGGGCAAGGAAUGAGCAGCAUAUUUGUGUCUGAAAGGAACAAAAAUCAUACAGAACUCCUGAAAUAUACAUCAGAACAUUCAUCCUGCAGCUCAGCCCAGGAGGAAGGCGUUGAGAGGAGAGGCAGCACUCAGUAGAGCCGCCCUCACCCACAGAAACCCAAAUUCAAGCUGGAUUCCUCAUUUUCUCUGGGAAGACUGACAUGGAUGAUUUCAAUGCAGUGGGUUGUUGGGCGCCGUCUUUC